UACAGAGGUGGCAAGCGUUGUUCGGAAUUACUGGGCGUAAAGGGCGCGUAGGCGGCCUUCUAAGUCAGACGUGAAAUCCCCCGGCUUAACCUGGGAACUGCAUCUGAUACUGGAGGGCUUGAGUGCGGGAGAGGGAUGUGGAAUUCCAGGUGUAGCGGUGAAAUGCGUAGAUAUCUGGAGGAACACCGGUGGCGAAGGCGGCAUCCUGGACCGACACUGACGCUGAGGCGCGAAAGCUAGGGUAGCAAACGGG
rnacentral:rRNA from 1 species